rnacentral:rRNA from 1 species
GAUGAACGCUAGCGGCAGGCUUAAUACAUGCAAGUCGUGGGGCAGCAUGAGUAGCAAUACUUGAUGGCGACCGGCAAACGGGUGAGGAACACGUACACAACCUUCCUUCAAGCGGGGAAUAGCCCAGAGAAAUUUGGAUUAAUACCCCAUAAUAUAUUUGAUAAGGCAUCUUAUUAAAUAUUAAAGCUUCGGCACUUGAUGAUGGGUGUGCGGCUGAUUAGAUAGUUGGCGGGUAACGGGCCCACCAAGUCUACGAUCAGUAGCUGAUGUGAGAGCAUGAUCAGCCACACGGGCACUGAGACACGGGCCCGACUCCUACGGGAGGCAGCAGUAAGGAAUAUUGGACAAUGGACGAAAGUACUGAUCCAGCCAUGCCGCGUGAAGGAUUAAGGUCCUCUGGAUUGUAAACUUCUUUUAUAUGGGUACGAAAAAGGGCGAAUUCUUGUUCGACUUGACGGUACCAUAUGAAUAAGCACCGGCUAACU